rnacentral:rRNA from 1 species
AGAGUUUGAUCCUGGCUCAGAACGAACGCUGGCGGCAGGCCUAACACAUGCAAGUCGAGCGCCCGCAAGGGAGCGGCAGACGGGUGAGUAACGCGUGGGAACGUGCCCUUUGGUUCGGAAUAUUCCCGGGGAACUGGGAGCAAAACCGGAUAAGCCCUUCGGGGGAAAGUUUACGCCAAAGGAUCGGCCCGCGUUAGAUUAGGUAGUUGGUGGGGUAACGGCCUACCAAGCCUACGAUCUAUAGCUGAUCUGAGAGGAUGAUCAGCCACACUGGGACUGAGACACGGCCCAGACUCCUACGGGAGGCAGCAGUGGGGAAUCUUGGACAAUGGGCGCAAGCCUGAUCCAGCCAUGCCGCGUGGAUGACUGAAGGCCCUAGGGUUGUAAAGUCCUUUCGACGGGGACGAUAACGACGGUACCCGUAGAAGAAGCCCCGGCUAACUUCGUGCCAGCAGCCGCGGUAAUACGAAGGGGGCUAGCGUUGUUCGGAUUUACUGGGCGUAAAGGGCGCGUAGGCGGAUUUUUAAGUCGGGGGUGAAAUCCCGGAGCUCAACUCCGGAACUGCCUUCGAUACUGAAAGUCUGGAGCACGGUAGAGGUGAGUGGAAUUCCGAGUGUAGCGGUGAAAUGCGUAGA